GUGCUCACUUCAGCAGCAUAUAUACUAAAAUUGAAACAAUACAGAAAAGAUUAGCAUGGCCCCUGCACAAAGACGAUAUGCAAAUUCAUAAAUCAUUCCAUAGUCUU